rnacentral:lncRNA from 1 species
CCGGACAAGGCAGCCUGAUUGCUGAGGUUGGCUGAAGGCCAUACCAUCCCCUAAGAUAACUACCAUCAUCUUCCACCAACAGGGAGAGAACAAAGCAAGUCUAGAUUUGUUUUGCUGAAGGCUGGGAACUGUAAGGGAAGAAAGCUGUACAGCACACUGAUGAAGCAUACACAAGACAGAUGACAGUCUCUCUUGCCUUAGAAGACAAAAUGGAGCUGAUUACUAGUGAGGAAGACUUCUCACCCUCGUACUCCUCCAGUGGGCUGUGGUGGGGUGUUAUGUAUGCCAGGCUAGCCUCAAACUUUCCAAGAACUCGAAGAUGACCUUGAACUUCUGAUUCUACUGACUCCACCUCCUUGUUGCAGGAAGGUUUUAAACACAUUUCUUCCUUCACUUCCUUCCUUCCUUGCUUGUUCAAUGUGGAUUUACAAUCCUUGCACUUGAAUGGGUACAAAUCUGCUAACAUAUGGCCACAAGGACCCCUGCCGCCUUACUUUUUUGAACCUUGAAC